UCGCUUAUUGGCCACAAGUCCUCCUGGUGGAGUGGUUCUAAACAGUUCAACAGUUCUCUAUCGACAUUGUGAAAUGUUUAGGACCACUUGAUCCGCAGGGCACUGACCGCCAGACACGGG
rnacentral:pre_miRNA from 17 species